rnacentral:hammerhead_ribozyme from 1 species
AUCCAUAUGACGAGUCCCAAAUGGGAUGGAACGCUCGUCACGGAU